CGGCGGUUUCAUCAGCGCGGUGAGCUCGCUGAUCCAGGCUCGGAGCAUCGCAUCGGGCGUGUUAUGUUUU
rnacentral:sRNA from 1 species